rnacentral:rRNA from 1 species
UACGUAGGGGGCAAGCGUUGUCCGGAAUCAUUGGGCGUAAAGAGCGUGUAGGCGGCCAGAUAAGUCCGCUGUGAAAUCUCGAGGCUCAACUUCGAGCUGUCGGUGGAAACUGUCUGGCUAGAGUCCGGAAGAGGAGAAUGGAAUUCCUGGUGUAGCGGUGAAAUGCGCAGAUAUCAGGAGGAACACCGGUGGCGAAGGCGGAUCUCUGGGCCUGUCCUGACGCUCGAGGCGCGAAAGCUAGGGGAGCAAACAGG